AGUGAACGCUGGCGGUAGGCCUAACACAUGCAAGUCGAACGGCAGCACAGUAAGAGCUUGCUCUUACGGGUGGCGAGUGGCGGACGGGUGAGGAAUACAUCGGAAUCUACUUUUUCGUGGGGGAUAACGUAGGGAAACUUACGCUAAUACCGCAUACGACCUACGGGUGAAAGCAGGGGAUCUUCGGACCUUGCGCGAUUGAAUGAGCCGAUGUCGGAUUAGCUAGUUGGCGGGGUAAAGGCCCACCAAGGCGACGAUCCGUAGCUGGUCUGAGAGGAUGAUCAGCCACACUGGAACUGAGACACGGUCCAGACUCCUACGGGGGGCAGCAGUGGGGAAUAUUGGACAAUGGGCGCAAGCCUGAUCCAGCCAUACCGCGUGGGUGAAGAAGGCCUUCGGGUUGUAAAGCCCUUUUGUUGGGAAAGGAAAGCAGCAGGUUAAUACCCCGCUGUUCUGACGGUACCCAAAGAAUAAGCACCGGCUAACUUCGUG
rnacentral:rRNA from 1 species